GAGUCCGUAGCUAAAUGGUAUAGCGUUUGACUCCAAUACAAAAUGUCACAGUUCGAAUCCCAGGUUUA
rnacentral:tRNA from 1 species